rnacentral:rRNA from 1 species
AUUGAACGCUGGCGGCAGGCCUAACACAUGCAAGUCGAGCGGAUGACGGGAGCUUGCUCCUUGAUUCAGCGGCGGACGGGUGAGUAAUGCCUAGGAAUCUGCCUGGUAGUGGGGGACAACGUUUCGAAAGGAGCGCUAAUACCGCAUACGUCCUACGGGAGAAAGCAGGGGACCUUCGGGCCUUGCGCUAUCAGAUGAGCCUAGGUCGGAUUAGCUAGUUGGUGGGGUAAUGGCUCACCAAGGCGACGAUCCGUAACUGGUCUGAGAGGAUGAUCAGUCACACUGGAACUGAGACACGGUCCAGACUCCUACGGGAGGCAGCAGUGGGGAAUAUUGGACAAUGGGCGAAAGCCUGAUCCAGCCAUGCCGCGUGUGUGAAGAAGGUCUUCGGAUUGUAAAGCACUUUAAGUUGGGAGGAAGGGCAGUAAGUUAAUACUUUGCUGUUUUGACGUUACCGACAGAAUAAGCACCGGCUAACUCUGUGCCAGCAGCCGGGUAAAAC